rnacentral:rRNA from 1 species
UACGUAGGGGCCGAGCGUUGUCCGGAGUUACUGGGCGUAAAGCGCGCGCAGGCGGCUCGUCAAGCCUGACGUGAAAGCCCACGGCUCAACCGUGGAGGGUCAUUGGAAACUGGGGGACUUGAGUGCAGGAGAGAAGAGUGGAAUUCCACGUGUAGCGGUGAAAUGCGUAGAGAUGUGGAGGAACACCAGUGGCGAAGGCGACUCUUUGGCCUGUAACUGACGCUGAGGCGCGAAAGCGUGGGGAGCAAACAGG